rnacentral:rRNA from 1 species
UUAAUAAAAGGUUGGAUACUAAAAUUUUAUUUGUUUUUCAUAAUUAAUUUGAGAAGUAUUUGGCGGUAUUUGGUUAAAUUCUGAGGAACUUGUUUAUUUAAAUUGAUAUUGCACAUUAAAUUUUAUCUGUAAAUUUAUUUUAUGUAUUGCUGUUUAAUUUAUUAUUUAUUAUAAGAAUAGAUUAAAAUGUACUUAAAUAAAAUAUUUCAAGUCAAAAUGUAGAUUUUUAUAGGGAUAAAUAAGUUACAUUUGUUUAGGAAAUACGAUUAACUGUAAAGUUUGUUGAAAAAUUAAUGAAUAAGGUUGGAUUAGGUAGUAAAAGAGAGAUAGUUAAUUUUUUUGAUAAUUUUUACCAGUAUGU